AUACGGAGGGUGCGAGCGUUAAUCGGAAUUACUGGGCGUAAAGCGUACGUAGGCGGUCCGUUAAGUUAGAUGUGAAAGCCCCGGGCUUAACCUGGGAACUGCAUUUAAAACUGGCGGACUAGAGUUGAGUAGAGGGGAGUGGAAUUUCAGGUGUAGUGGUGAAAUGCGUAGAGAUCUGAAGGAACACCAGUGGCGAAGGCGACUCCCUGGACCCGAACUGACGCUGAGGUACGAAAGCGUGGGUAGCAAACGGGAUUAGAAACCCCAGUAGUCC
rnacentral:rRNA from 1 species